GAUGAACGCUGGCGGCGUGCCUAAUACAUGCAAGUCGAGCGAACAGACGAGGAGCUUGCUCCUCUGACGUUAGCGGCGGACGGGUGAGUAACACGUGGAUAACCUACCUAUAAGACUGGGAUAACUUCGGGAAACCGGAGCUAAUACCGGAUAAUAUAUUGAACCGCAUGGUUCAAUAGUGAAAGACGGUUUUGCUGUCACUUAUAGAUGGAUUCGCGCCGCAUUAGCUAGUUGGUAAGGUAACGGCUUACCAAGGCAACGAUGCGUAGCCGACCUGAGAGGGUGAUCGGCCACACUGGAACUGAGACACGGUCCAGACUCCUACGGGAGGCAGCAGUAGGGAAUCUUCCGCAAUGGGCGAAAGCCUGACGGAGCAACGCCGCGUGAGUGAUGAAGGUCUUCGGAUCGUAAAACUCUGUUAUUAGGGAAGAACAAAUGUGUAAGUAAAUAUGCACGUCUUGACGGUACCUAAUCAGAAAGCCACGGCUAACUACGUG
rnacentral:rRNA from 1 species